UACGGAGGGUGCGAGCGUUGUCCGGAAUCACUGGGCGUAAAGGGCGCGUAGGCGGCCGCGUAAGUCACUUGUGAAAUCCCGGGGCUCAACUCCGGGGCUGCAGGUGAGACUGCGUGGCUAGAGCACGGUAGAGGCGAGUGGAAUUCCCGGUGUAGCGGUGGAAUGCGUAGAUAUCGGAAGGAACAUCAGUGGCGAAAGCGACUUCCUGGACCAGUACCGACGUUCAGGCACGAAAGCGUGGGGAGCAAACAGG
rnacentral:rRNA from 1 species